rnacentral:snRNA from 1 species
GGAUGUGAAGCUGAUUUGGCUGCAACAUCUGUUACCCCAUUGAUUGCCAGGGUAGAUUCAGCUGAUCUGGUUGGCUAGGCAGAUGUCCCCUUCCUCCCUCACCACUCCAUGUGCUUCCCUCAUGAAGCUGCAUGCUUGGUUGAAGAGAACAACCUUCCCUGCCAUAUUCUCCAGUCAAGAGUAUAUAAGUAGCUGCAAUUCCCUGCAAGAAACUCCAAACAAGCUCUCAAGGAAUAUAUCAAAGCCUCAGAUGAGACACAGAAUUUGAGACAACUAAUCA